rnacentral:rRNA from 1 species
AGGGCACCACAAGGAGUGGAGCCUGCGGCUUAAUUUGACUCAACACGGGAAAGCUUACCUGGUCCGGACACUGGAAGGAUUGACAGAUUGAUAGCUCUUUCUUGAUUUAGUGGAUGGUGGUGCAUGGCCGUUCUUAGCUCGUGGAGUGAUUUGUCUGGUUAAUUCCGACAAUGAGCGAGAUUCUACCCUACUAAAUAAUAUUUUGGAUUUAUACUCCAGUAAUGUUUCUUAGUGGGACAAUGUACGUGUAGUACAAUGAGACAGAGUAAUAACAGGUCUGUGAUGCCCUUAGAUGUUCGGGGCUGCACGCGCGCUACAAUGAAAGAUGCAAUGUGUAUCGUUUUAGUUUUGACAAACUAAAUAAUCUUAAAAUAUUUUUCAUAACAGGGAUGGGGGAUUGAAAUUAUGCCCCUUGAACGAGGAAUUCCCAGUAAAUAUUAAUCAUUAGUUAGUGUUGAUUACGUCCCUGCCCUUUGUACACACCGCCCGUCGCUACAACCGAUUGAAUGGUUUAGUAAG